GCCACUCCUCUCUCUGUGGCUUGCAGGGAUUUGACCCCUCUCUGCCCCUCUGCAAGACUGGAAUUACCUCUGGGAAGCCUCCCACCUCCAGACCAGAAUGAGAUGCUGCUCCAGAAGUGUGGUGAGUGUUUCUCUUCCCUUCCGGUCUCCAGCUGCAGCCCUGCCGGCCCUCCAUGCUCACUCCUGUUACCUGUUUUUAUCAAGUCACAAAUGAAGAAUUGAAGCAGAGAAACUAAGGACCAGAUUUGAAAGAAAAAAGAGAUUAUCUCUGUUUUAAAAAAGAAGAAGAAGAAACCUACUGAAAUAUUCACCAGAUAUCAGAUGCCUAACGUUUAGAGGUGCAAAAAUCUAGAACUCUUGGUUCCAAAAUGAUACCUUUUAUUAGACCA